UGUGCUAAGGUAGCAUAAUCAUUUGUUAUUUAAUUGAUAACUAGAAUGAAUGGUGAAACGAAUAGUAAAUUUUUCUUGUUUAAAUAGAAAUUGAUAUAAGAAUAAAAAAGUUCUUUAAACCUAGAAAGACGAUAAGACCCUAAAAUCUUUACUAAAUUAGUUUUGCUGGGGCGGCAAAUAGCCAGACACUAUAAAAUUUUACACUUUGAGUGAGUCUGACUAACCUGAUGAAAAUAAAAAGAUACUUUAGGGAUAACAGAAUAAUUCCUAUUGAGAGCCCGCAUCAACAUGGGAGUUUAUUACCUCGAUGUUGAAUUGAUUAAUCUCUAUAGAGCAG
rnacentral:rRNA from 1 species